rnacentral:tRNA from 2 species
CGGGGUGUAGCUCAGCUUGGUAGAGCGCCAUCUUCGGGAGGUGGAAGUCGGAGGUUCAAAUCCUCUCACCCCGACCA